GAGGCUGUGGCUCAGUGGUAGAGUGCUUGUCGUGCAAGCAUGAGACACUGGGUUCGAUCCUCAGCACCCAUA
rnacentral:tRNA from 1 species